AGAAACAAGAUCAUGGUACGAGGCGGAGCUUCAUGCUUAGCACUGCUGGCCGACGGGGACAACCAAGGCAACACAACGGUGACGCUCAUCGAUGGCUGCGUCCGGCGGGAUGGGCACGGCUGAGAGGAGCUCUUCGCCGCGCCGGAUCUGUCCGUCCAUGUGUAGGCGCCGCCGUCCUGAUCCCCUUGCUAGAACUUUCAGGUGAAGAAGAGGAGGAACCUGCAUGGGGCGUGCUCCUUUAGGGCUAUUGCUGCUGGAGAUAUAUGUGCUAUAUGCAAGAGAAGAUGCAUGGCCCCAUUCGUUUGCGCUGUAAACAUGUCUUCUGAGAAGAUUGUGUCUCUAAAUAGUAACCACGUGAAUUUUGUCUUCUGCCACGUAACUACAAAAUUUGGCAAUUGAUUUCAUAAUAUGAGCAUUCAAAAUAGUAUCUUAUAUGUUUCCUUACUAUUUUUCUAGAUGAUGGCAGGUUUGAGAGGGAGCAUACUUUCCUGUUGUGUGAUCUGUCCAUUCUAACUGGGUUUACCUUGUAAAAUGCAUUGGGUAAGUAAAUUCGAAAAAGCUGGGUACUAGCUCGUGCACAUCAUAUCGCUAGAUUUUUUAACACUUGUGGAGGUUGAAUUGAGGUUCCAAAAGUCAAAACAUGUAUAUAUCUUUAUGUGUAAUCACCUCUGAUAUGCUACAAAACAAUCUUGACAUGGUAUAAACUACACCCUGUCUUUAGUUAGAAUAAUAGACAACUUGUUGAAUUCAUAAGUUGGAAUCAUCAUCUUGCGUAGUUAGCCAAUAUCCUUCUUUCAUUUUUUCCAAGUUUCCAACAUGAGAAAUAUCAUAAAUUUGAAAUGCAGCUACAGAUUUAGGAGGUAAUAGAAGUAGUAUAUGGACAUUGUUUUUCUUACCAAUCACUCUUCGUCCAGGAGGUCAGAUAUCAUUAUUAUCUCCUAAAUUUCAAGAUUAAUUAUUUAAUUAAUAAUCAAUGUUACAGGAUGCCUUUCAUGUCUUAAUAAAAUUCAGAUGUUUACCUAGCGUAUUGCGCAUAAUUCCCCGGCGCUCUGAGAUAACCUGAAGAAGAGAGGUGUAGAUAUAGAAAAUGACAAUUGUCUAUUUUGUUCGUGUGUAGAGGGGAAUGUAUUUAUUGGUUCGCCAAAUGUAAGGCCGCUAAGAAUGUGUGUGGGCUUCUGGGAUUGGAGGACAACAGAGUACGCCUGGAGGCUGCUGCCACAACUUUGGACACUUUGGGUACUAUUUGGGAGCUCCACGAACAGAAGUGAGUUCAGAUUUUGACAUUUUGGUGGCAUUGGUGGAAUAAUUGAAAUAGACUGAGAGAGGAUGAUCUUGUAAUCUUGGCGUUCCAUGCAGUGUAGUUU